ensembl:lncRNA
AUUUUUACUGUUGUCUUUAAGGACACAAAUAGCCUAAAUAAUGUUUUCUUCUACUAAGGCUAAAUUGACAACGAAGUGAAGGGCAAAUAUCUUCACAAUCUAGCAAGUCGCUGCAAAGGACAAUGAACUGUGUGCGCGUUCACCGGGAGGGGAUUCUUGCAGGGGGCGGUUUUCGGCUCAAAAACUGUACAGAAUCUGAUCGGUGGAUGUGCUCCGUCUUUAUUCACUUUCCUAUUCACUUAACCUACCAGGUAGCAGGUUUGGUUCCGAUAAAUUUUGGAUGUAAGGGUUUCUGAUUAGGAUACACUUCUUGCAUUCUUGUUGGAGCCGAAAAACCAGAGUAGAAGUACAAGAACUCCACACGUCCCUAGCAAGAGCUGAGAAGAUACACAUGUUCGUCAAUUGCAGACAAGGUCCAACCAAAGCUAUCAGUUAUUGACACACCAAUGUAAAUAUGACUCUUCCCAUGAAGGCAGCUAUCAGAGGACCAGCAUAAUAUAUCACCAUCUUUUGAUGAGAGGAUAUAAGGCACUUAAGAUGGAAGAUUCAGACUUGUCUGAGACUAGAUGACCGUCUGGGUGUCUCUGGAUGUUGAGGAGAUCCUUGACUAUUGGAGAUUUGACCCUGUCAGCAGCCCUGGAGGUUUCAAUAGAGAAGCUGGAGAUCCAGAUACAGUUCUAGUCAGUAACAAGACAACAACAGCCAUGAUGAGGGAUGUUCUUGUGUUUCCUAUAGCCUCACCAAUAGAUUUCUCCAAUGGAGGAUGUGAGCCAAGAUACCUUCAGAGAAAACCUACAGGGACAAAAUGCAGUGCUUUCACAACCUUUCACAGUAUAUCCAAAGAACAGCAGCAUUCAAAGUUUAUUAAAAAGAUUGAAUUAGAUUUUUCUCAGUGUAAAAGUGAGAAUAAGUAUGAUUGUACUGCAAUGAAAGAGGAUCUUUUUUGGGCAUUUUAUUCUCAGUUUAAAUCAGACAUGAGUCAAGUUAAAACAAAUAUCCAGUUUAAAAAAGAGUCUUUCCCAAAUGCCAGUGUGGGUGUCAAAGCUGUCAAAGUUGAAUCUGAAAUAAAAGUUGAGGAUCCUAUUUGGGCGUGCUAUUUUGCUAAACAGGAAAAGGGGGUUCGUAAUGUUGAGGAACCUGUAGGUUUUCAGAUUGUGGCUACCAAGAGUCGAUCCAGAUCUGGUCCUGGCUUAUCAACUUCAAAGGAAAAUGCUGUUCAGCCGACUCUGACUGAGAGAUGUGAUCAAGAUAAAAAUGAUUACCCAAUCACACCUUCUGAGGUGUUAAAGACUCUACAGCAAAGUGGUAAAAACGCCACUGUGAACCAGAAUGUAAAACAGGGAACAGUGGAUGAGAAAAAUGAAGAUCCCAUAUGGGCUAAUUAUCAUAUGCAUGAAGGACGAAAAGAGUGGAAUCCAAAAUAUGAACAUUUGACACUUCUGCUUCCAUCACCAAUAGAAACGGAUCAGCCUUUAACCUCAGAGGAAAUGCUGUCAUUGAUUGGGAUUAGACAACCCAUCUGUAAAGUAGCAAUGCCUUCAUCCAUAGUAGAGUAUGAACAAACUAUGACCUCGGACACAGCAGGACCAUCUCAACCCAUUUCACACCAGUCCAGCAAAAAGCAAAUGCUUGAGAGAGAACCUGGUAGCCAUUCAGGCCUGGUUUCCCAAUCAAACACAUCCGAACCAUCAGUACCGAUGCCAGAUACAUGUAAAAGACAUCCAACCGCUCCAUCAAACAUUAACAAAAAAAGUCCUGCUGAUACAGUUUCAUACAUUUAUAAAUGUCUGUAAUGUGAUAUGUCAAAUGUUUCACAUCAGCAAGAUGAGGGGAAACAUCCAGCUAAUGCUGUAAAGGGAACGAUAAAAGAUAAAGACAAACCCUGUUGUUUGUAAAGCAUCAUAUGCAAUUCAUGCAAAGUUAAUGUAUCACAGAGAAAAGCACAUCAGUGGCUCAAAAUGCCCUGAGUGUGAUGAGCGUUUUGUGUCAGAAAAUAACUUACAACUUCAUAUGCCGACACAUUCUAAAGAAAAGCCUUUUUCUUGCAAGGAAUGUGGAAAAUCGUAUCGCCUCCCUGGUCAGUUUAAUGAACACAUAAAUAGUCGUCCCAGUAGUGAGAGGGACAUUUUCUGUCCAGGGUGUGGCAAGUGUUUUAGGGUCAAGACCUUUCUUGACAUUCACAUGAACAUGCACACAGGAAACAGACCAUAUCAGUGCACAGAUUGCAAGGCUUCCUUCAAAACCCCCUCAGCUCUGAAUGCACACAAGACUAUUCACACAGGUUAGAAGCCAUAUUCCUGCCCUCAGUGUGGCAUGUGUUUUCGUCUGAAAGACUUUCUUAAUAAACACCUGUCCACACACUCUGCCGGCAAAGGAACAGUGAAGAAGUCAGGGGAAAACCAAUCCAAGAGGAAGAAGGAGCAGUCAGACACUGAGGAGGACUCAGACUCCAUGUCAGACCCAGACUUUUCAUCUGACUCCACCCCUCAAACCCCCACCUCCAGACAGACCAGGAGUCAGAGGAAACCCAAACAGGUGGAGAACUGAAGGGGCUUGGAAGGCUGUUGUAACACUUUGUAACCUUAUAAUAUGUUUAUUUUUGUCAAAUAUGUCUGUUAACAGGGAAAUCUAGGCACCAGCCUCUUCAGGUAACACUUGUCUUCAGCACAGGGCG